rnacentral:rRNA from 1 species
UACGUAGGGCGCAAGCGUUGUCCGGGAUUAUUGGGCGUAAAGAGCUCGUAGGCGGCUUGUCACGUCGGUUGUGAAAGCCCGGGGCUUAACCCCGGGUCUGCAGUCGAUACGGGCAGGCUAGAGUGUGGUAGGGGAGAUCGGAAUUCCUGGUGUAGCGGUGAAAUGCGCAGAUAUCAGGAGGAACACCGGUGGCGAAGGCGGAUCUCUGGGCCAUUACUGACGCUGAGGAGCGAAAGCGUGGGGAGCGAACAGG